AUGCCUUACACAUGCAAGUCGAACGGCAGCACGGGGGCAACCCUGGUGGCGAGUGGCGAACGGGUGAGUAAAGCAUCGGAACGUGCCCUGAAGUGGGGGAUAACGUAGCGAAAGUUACGCUAAUACCGCAUAUUCUGUGAGCAGUAAAGCAGGGGAUCUUAGGACCUUGCGCUUUGGGAGCGGCCGAUGUCGGAUUAGCUAGUUGGUGAGGUAAAGGCUCACCAAGGCGACGAUCCGUAGCGGGUCUGAGAGGAUGAUCCGCCACACUGGGACUGAGACACGGCCCAGACUCCUACGGGAGGCAGCAGUGGGGAAUUUUAGACAAUGGGCGCAAGCCUGAUCCAGCCAUGCCGCGUGAGUGAAGAAGGCCUUCGGGUUGUAAAGCUCUUUCGGUGGGGAAGAAAUUGCUUAGGUUAAUACCUUGAGUAGAUGACGGUACCCGCAU
rnacentral:rRNA from 1 species